GACAGAGGGGGCAAGCGUUGCUCGGAAUUACUGGGCGUAAAGGGCGCGUAGGCGGGAUGGCAAGUCGGUCGUGAAAUCCUUCGGCUCAACCGAAGAACGUCGAUCGAUACUGCUGUUCUUGAGGGUUGCAGAGGAGACUGGAAUUCCCGGUGUAGCGGUGAAAUGUGUAGAGAUCGGGAGGAACACCGGUGGCGAAGGCGGGUCUCUGGGCAAUUCCUGACGCUGAGGCGCGAAAGCGUGGGGAGCAAACGGG
rnacentral:rRNA from 1 species